UUGGAUAUAGCUCAAUAGUAGAGCACUUGCUUAGCAUGCAGAAGAUCCUGGGUUUAAUCUCCAGUGCCAGAG
rnacentral:tRNA from 1 species